GCUCUUUGCGUAAUAGCUAGAGCUUUCAAGUGCAAGAAAUUUUUGUAUCUAUCCAUAUAUCAUGGGUGGCAAUAACAGGCAAACCAAGAAGUGUUUUUUUUUCUCUGCCUUUAAAAUCUUCCAAGUCCUGGAGGCCUUGCGACGAUAGUUAUGGAGAUGCAUCUGAUGAACCAAGGGCGUAUCCUAGUGAGGAAGAUGGCAGAGGUCAAUGGAAGAUUGCGGAUCCUCAUAUUGACACAACCUUCUGCUUUCAUUGCUUAUGUCCAUGCAACUUGUAACUCAGAAUCUGACGGCUAAAUUUAUCAGCCCGCAAAGGUCUGAUCAUAAAUUUCUCAAACUACUUUUAUCUCCUUCUGAGUUUUGACUACUGAGG
rnacentral:misc_RNA from 1 species